rnacentral:ncRNA from 1 species
AGAUAGAGGAGCGAGUACUAAGAGUAAAUAAAAUUUCUAAAAGCAUGAAGAGUUUUAUCUAAAGGAGGACUUGCCGAAAUAUCAUGGUAAUUGCUUUAAACUAUGAUGUUGGGGAUAUGUAUAAUAUACAUAUAACUGCCACAAAAUAUUUGUGGAGAACUAUCA